UACGAAGGGGGCUAGCGUUGUUCGGAAUACUGGGCGUAAAGCGCGCGCAGGCGGUCCUUCAAGUCAGGGGUGAAAGCCCAGGGCUCAACCCUGGAAUGGCCUUUGAGACUAGAGGACUUGGGUACGGGAGAGGUGAGUGGAAUUCCGAGUGUAGAGGUGAAAUUCGUAGAUAUUCGGAAGAACACCAGUGGCGAAGGCGGCUCACUGGCCCGUUACCGACGCUCAGGCGCGACAGCGCGGGGAGCAAACAGG
rnacentral:rRNA from 1 species